GAUGUGACUCCCUAAAGACUCCCAAGUGACAGGCGGUCAUUGAAAAACCAUAUAGCUCAAAUAUUUUAUUUAGUAAGAGAAUCACUGUCAACACAUUCUAAAGCAAACCAUUUUAAUAGAUAACAUUCAGAUACAUGAAAACAUGACUUAGACUCCUACUUUAGGACUUGAGACUGAACAGACUGAAACAUUUUUGAUAAAAUCUCAUACAAACUAAUUUGUAUGAGAGCUCACAUGUACAUAACUCAUGUAUUUGUUCAUUAUUGCACAUUUAAUUUCCCAAACAGACACACUGCCUAUAAUCAUGUCCAUUUUUCUUGAUUCGUGCAUCACAAAGCCAAUCAGCAGAUAACACUUUCAACAACUGAGUGAAGACGUGACGUGUGUGUGUACGUGUGUGUGUGUGUGUGUGCGAUGAGAAAAUACAGGUUUUGUUACCUGAUAACAUCCCACUGGUUGGAAAAGAUUUUAAACAAACAUGACUCACAAUGAACACAUUGAACCUAUAAGGUUACCUGUUAGUGUUUGUGCGUGUCAGACUGGAAUUUAACAAGAAUAUCCCAAAACAACUUUCUCCACGUUCACAACACCAGUCUGAGUGUUACAAAUGGCAUGUAAUAAUUGCAUUUUUUUUAAUGCACAUAUAGCUCCAUGUGCAUACCGUAUGGUGCAGAUUAUACACACUGUCACUCACAUACUUUACCCUCAACUAAACAAAGGUUUUCUGAUGAGAGUGCAGGUACUGCCCCUGAUGAGCUGCUUCAGGUUGAGGUGUGGCUCUGCAUAAAAGGGGCUGCAGGUACCAGCUGCGUCUGUGGACUUUCUAUCCAGCGGACAGUAAGUUCACCUUUAAAACUCUCGUGAUGAUUUGUAGCUUUUUAAUUUAGAAAAAAUAUAGAACGAGUAUGUGCAGAAGGGUCUAAAGUUUUGAAAUGAAUCGAGGACACUGUGGUCGAGGAGGCCACGGACAAGGUGGUGGGCAUGGAAUCUGCGGACAAGGUGGUGGGCACGGAAACUGCGGACAAGGUGGUGGGCACGGAAACUGCGGACAAGGUGGUGGGCAUGGAAACUGCGGUGGCCAUGGACAUGGUGGCCAUGGACAUGGUGGUGGGCAUGGAAACUGCGGUGGCCAUGGACAUGGUGGCCAUGGACAUGGUGGUGGGCAUGGACCCUGCGGUGGCCAUGGACACUGUGGUGGGGGGCACGGGCCCUGCGGUGGCCAUGGCUGUGGUGGGGGGCAUGGACAUGGACAUAAACAUGGGCCCAAGCGCAGGAAAAGGCACAGGCGUGGCCACAAGCAUGCCAAUUGUCACAAGAAGGGCAAGGACUGUCACGGGGUAAGAUUCAACAGUGUUCAGUUCAUUCACAACAGAAAUCAGAGAAGCAUUUUAAAAGGUUUGUGCAAUCCAACCCAAUGAAAACUGAGCACAGGAAUACCCUGUUAUGGAUGUUAAAUAAAUGGAGGUUUUAAGUUAUUCAUCCGGGGAUAGAACAGCGCUAUAAAUGGACUUGUGCAGGAACAGUAUGCUCCGCUUCCACACAGUUACACACCGUCAGACCUGGAUAUAGCUUGUUAGAGCAGUCGGGGGCUUAGUGUCUCAAAAGGGAUGGGCAACACUGCUCUUAUCCUUCCCUGACCUGAUUUAUCCUUCUCUGCUCGAAAACUCAAAAUUGAUUUAUAAGAAUCAAAUUAAUCCGACUCUUUUGUGAAGAAUUGAAUGAUGAGCUGUCUUCACUGAAUAACU
ensembl:lncRNA